rnacentral:lncRNA from 1 species
GGUAAAGCCCCUUGAGACACAGACAAUGUGCUCUCCCUGGUGACUUUCCAUUCUGGAGUGGCAACCUAGGAGACUGAUGUCUUGGGAGAGCUUUGCAGACUUUAUCUCUGUGGUGUGCUUCUUCCUAAAACAUCACCUGCUGUGACUACAUCAGCCUCCAGGAGUGCCUCAGUUUGCCUCAGCUGCCCGGUAUCUUCUUCAGAUGUCUGGAUCUCGUCCUGCUGCCACUCACAGUGUGACAGUGAUGCCAGUGUGGCAUUCUGUAAACCUGAACCGAGAGAACAAAUGGGAAUCAGUCAAGAAUUCCAAGGAAACAAGAAACAAGGCCAGGUGCUAAGGUGGGUAUGCUGGGAAAUUUAUUUGUGGGGCUCCAACAUUUUUAAGUGAGCCCAGCAUGGGGAA